AUGGCUGUGGAAGAGCUUCAGUCCAUAAUAAUGAGAUGUCAAAUCCUAGAAGAACAGUACUUUAAAGAAGAAGAUUUUGGCCUAUUUCAGUUAGCAGGCCAAAGAUGCAUAGAUGAAGGGCAUAUAGAGCAGCUAUUAGAAAUUAUUCAAAAUGAAAAGAAUAAGGUCAUUAUCAAGAAUAUGGGCUGGAAUCUUGUUGGUCCUGUUGUUCAAUGUCUUUUGUGAAAUAAGGAAUAUGAGAAAAGAAAAUAUUAUUAUCUGAUGCUUGAUUUAUUGGUAAAGUUACGUAAUCCAAAGGAAUUAUUGUUGGGUUUGCUUGAACUGAUUGAAGAGCCCUCUGGAAAACAGAUAUCCCAAAUUAUCCUUCUUUUACUUCAGCCAUUACAAACACUGAUUCAGAAACUUCGUAACAACAAGGCAUAUUCGGUGGGAUUGGCAUUGUCCACUCUUUGGAGUCAGCUCUCUCUCCUUCCCGUUCCAUACUCAGAAGAACAAAGACAAACAGAUGACUAUGGCCUUUGUCAGUGUUGCAAGGCCUUAACAGGGUUCACUAAGCCUUUUGUGGAAGAAGUCAUUAAUGACAAAGAAAACUCACUGGAAGACGAAAAUGAAAAGUUAAAGGAUGAAUUACUGAAAUUUUGUUUCAAAAGCUUGAAAUGCCCUUUGCUGACAGCACAAUUCUUUGAGCAGUCCAAAGAAGCUGGAAAUGAUCCCUUAAGAUGAUUUGCAUCUGAAAUAAUAGGCUUUUUAUCAGCAAUUGGACAUCCUUUCCCCAAAAUGAUUUUUAAUCAUGGAAGGAAAAAGAGGACUUGGGACUAUCUUGAAUUUGAGGAAGAAGAAGACAAACAGCAGACUCUAUGGCUUCUCUGGCCUAUCUGGUAUUUGUACAGGGCAUCAGUAUUGAUCAGCUUCCAAUGGUCUUAAGCCCAUCGUACCUUUUGCAAUUUAAUAUGGGGCAUAUUGAAGUCUUUUUGCAAAGCACAGAAGAGUCUGUUUUCUCCAAAGGAGUGGAUCUGUUGGAGAAUGGUUUGUUGAGAAUAGAAGACAACAGUCUACUUCACCAGUACUUAGAAAUCAAGAGCUUUCUUACUGUAGCUCAGGGCUUAGUCAAAGUAAUAACACUUUGCCCCAUUGAGACAUUGAGGAAAAAGAGUUUAGCUAUGCUUCAACUGUAUAUUAACAAGUUGGAUUCACAAGGCAAAUAUACGUUAUUUAGGUGCUUAUUGAAUACAAGUAAUCAUUCAGGUGUGGAGGCUUUCAUUACUCAGAAUAUCAAAAAUCAAAUUGAUGUGUCAUCAAAGAGAACACAUAACAAAUGGUUUACAGGCCCACAGCUGAUCUCACUUCUAGAUUUGGUACUCUUUCUCCCAGAGGGUGCUGAAACAGAUUUACUCCAAAACUCAGAUAGGAUAAUGGCUUCAUUAAAUUUAUUGAGAUAUUUGGUUAUCAAAGUUAAUGAGAAAGACAAUCAAACUGGACUAUGGACAGAACUUAGAAAGAUUGAGAAUAAUUUCUUAAAGCCACUCCAUACAGGACUUAAUAUGUCAAAAGCACAUUAUGAAGCAGAAAUUAAAAAUAGCAAAGAAAAUAGCCACGAAGUCCAGAAGUCUAAAGAUCUUUGUUCUGUAACUGUAGGUGGAGAAGAGAUCCCUAAUAUGCCUCCUAAAAUGCAGCUUAAGGUCCUACAUUCAGCUCUUUUCACAUUUGAUUUGAUUGAAAGGGUUCUGGCUCGAGUAGAAGAACUCAUUGAAAUAAAAACAAAGUCUACCCCUGAAGAAACUAUUGGGAUAAAGUGAAACCUCCAUUUCCUAAAUAAAAACUAGUAAAAUACUGUAAAAAAAAAAA